GACGUAGGGCGCGAGCGUUGUCCGGAUUUAUUGGGCGUAAAGAGCUCGUAGGCGGCUUGUCGCGUCGAAUGUGAAAACCCACGGCUCAACUGUGGGCUUGCAUUCGAUACGGGCAGGCUAGAGUUCGGUAGGGGAGACUGGAAUUCCUGGUGUAGCGGUGAAAUUCGUAGAUAUCGGGAGGAACACCAGUGGCGAAGGCGGCGAUCUGGGGAAGAUACUGACGCUGAGGUGCGAAAGCGUGGGGAGCGAACAGG
rnacentral:rRNA from 1 species